AAUAUUGGUCAAUGAAGGCAACUCUGAACCAGCCACGUCGCGUGAAGGAUGACGGCCCUCCGGGUUGUCCACUUCUUUUAUACCGGACUAAAGUGAGUCACGUGUGACUUUUUGCAUGUACUGUAUGAAUAAGGAUCGGCUAACUCCGUGCAAGCAGCCGCGGUAAUACGGAGGAUCCAAGCGUUAUCCGGAUUUAUUGGGCUUAAAGGGUUCGCAGGCGGAAGAUUAAGUCGGCGGUGAAAUUUUGCAGCUCAACUGUAAAAGUGCCAUCGAUACUGGUUUUCUUGAGUGUGGAUGAAGUAGGCGGAAUUUGUGGUGUAGCGGUGAAAUGCAUAGAUAUCACGAGGAACUCCGAUUGCGCAGGCAGCUUACUAGGCCAUAACUGACGCUCAGGCACGAAGGCGUGGGGAUCAAACA
rnacentral:rRNA from 1 species